rnacentral:rRNA from 1 species
UACAGAGGACCCGAGCGCUACGCGGAUUAACCUGGGCUUAAAGGGUGCGUGAGGCGGAAACUUAAGUGUCUUGUGAAAUCCCACGGCUCAACCGUGGAACCGCAGGGCAUACUGGGUUUCUUGAGGCUGGUAUGCGCCGCCGGAACUGUAGGUGUAGCGGUGAAAUGCGUAGAUAUCUACAGGAACGCCGAUGGUGAAGACGGGCGGCGUGGGCCAGUUCUGACGCUGGAGGCACGAAAGCGUGGGGAUCAAACAGG